UGUCAGCCGCCGCCGUAACACAUGCAAGUCGAACGAACCUUCGGGUUAGUGGCGGACGGGUGAGUAACGCGUGGGAAUCUGCCCUCAGGAGGGGGAUAACGGCUGGAAACGGCCGCUAAUACCCCAUAUGCCGAGAGGUGAAAUGAAUUUCGCCUGAGGAUGAGCCCGCGUCUGAUUAGCUUGUUGGUGAGGUAAUGGCUCACCAAGGCUUCGAUCAGUAGCUGGUCUGAGAGGAUGAUCAGCCACACUGGGACUGAGACACGGCCCAGACUCCUACGGGAGGCAGCAGUGGGGAAUUUUCCGCAAUGGGCGAAAGCCUGACGGAGCAACGCCGCGUGAGGGAUGAAGGCCUCUGGGCUGUAAACCUCUUUUCUCAAGGAAGAAGAUCUGACGGUACUUGAGGAAUAAGCCACGGCUAAUUCCGUGCCAGCCGCCGCAGUAACAC
rnacentral:rRNA from 1 species